AACGAACGCUGGCGGCAUGCCUAACACAUGCAAGUCGAACGAGACCUUCGGGUCUAGUGGCGCACGGGUGCGUAACGCGUGGGAACCUGCACUUAGGUUCGGAAUAACUCCCCGAAAGGGGUGCUAAUACCGGACAAUGUCUUCGGACCAAAGAUUUAUCGCCUUUGGAUGGGCCCGCGUUGGAUUAGCUAGUUGGUAGGGUAAAAGCCUACCAAGGCGACGAUCCAUAGCUGGUCUGAGAGGAUGAUCAGCCACACUGGGACUGAGACACGGCCCAGACUCCUACGGAAUGCAGCAGUGGGGAAUAUAGGACAACGGGCGAAAGCCUGAUCCAGCAAUGCCGCGUGAGUGAUGAAGGCCUUAGGGUUGUAAAUCUCGUUUACCCGGGAGGAUAAUGACGGUACCGGGAGAAUAAGCACCGGCUAACUCCGUG
rnacentral:rRNA from 1 species